rnacentral:rRNA from 1 species
CAGCUCUUGACAUGCCAGGACGGUUCCCGGAGACGGGUUCCUCCACUUCGGUGGCCUGGACACAGGUGCUGCAUGGCUGUCGUCAGCUCGUGUCGUGAGAUGUUGGGUUAAGUCCCGCAACGAGCGCAACCCUCGCCCUUAGUUGCCAGCAUUCAGUUGGGCACUCUAAGGGGACUGCCGGUGAUAAGCCGAGAGGAAGGUGGGGAUGACGUCAAGUCCUCAUGGCCCUUACGGGCUGGGCUACACACGUGCUACAAUGGCGGUGACAGUGGGCAGCGACUUCGCGAGGAGUAGCUAAUCCCCAAAAGCCGUCUCAGUUCGGAUUGCACUCUGCAACUCGGGUGCAUGAAGUUGGAAUCGCUAGUAAUCGCAGAA